AAUCAACGCUGGCGGCGCGCCUAACACAUGCAAGUCGAGCGAGAAAGAGGGGCAACCCUUGAGUAAAGCGGCGUACGGGUGAGUAACACGUAGGUAUCCACCUCUUAGUGGGGAAUAACUCGGGGAAACCUGAGCUAAUACCGCAUAAGUCCGAGAGGAGAAAGCAGCAAUGCGCUGAGAGAGGAGCCUGCGGCCGAUUA
rnacentral:rRNA from 1 species